rnacentral:rRNA from 1 species
UACAGAGACUGCAAGCGUUAUUCGGAUUCACUGGGCGUAAAGGGUGCGCAGGCGGCCGUGUGUGUCAGGUGUGAAAGCCCGGGGCUUAACCCCGGAAUUGCGCCUGAAACUACAUGGCUAGAGCAUUGGAGAGGGUAGCGGAAUUCACGGUGUAGCAGUGAAAUGCGUAGAUAUCGUGAGGAACACCAGAGGCGAAGGCGGGUACCUGGACAAUUGCUGACGCUCAGGCACGAAAGCGUGGGGAGCAAAAGGG